AUGGAAAAAACUAAAAAGUUAGUUGACCUUUUUAAUAAUGUUCAAAAAUUCGUUGCAAAAUGUAAAGAUAAUAAUAAAAAACUACUAGCGUUAAAUAACUUAGAUGAAACUGAAACAUUAUAUCCUUUAAGACGUAUGAAAAAUUAUACACCAAAUGACAUUAGAGCUUACAAAAAUAGUUCAACUGGGUUUAUGUCCAAAGAUUCUUGUGAAAUAAAAAGUGAUAAUAUAAACAAGAAUUCUAUUAAUUUAGAAAGCAUUGAAUAUGAAAAAGCCUAUACAAAUGAUAACUUUCAUACAUUAUCUGACUAUUUUGAUAAACAGGAUAAUAAAAGAUUUAAUGAGUUAAAAUAUCAUGGGGGUGACGAUGAAAAUGGUUAUGGUACUGAUGGUUUUGAUAUGAAUUUUCAAAUGUUAGAUAAUAAAAACAGCGUUAACAAUAUUACAGAAUCUUUUAAAGCAAUGUCAAAAGAACAACAGAAAAAAAAAAAUGUAAAAAAUGAACUUAUGUUAUAUGAUUUACAUUUGACUACUUUAUAUCAAAAAUUGGAAAUCAGUUCAAAAAAAAGUAAAAAGAUAACUAAGAAAAAAUUAAAGGGUAAAAAAAAAGAGAAAUUGGAUAAAACAACAUUUAAUUCUUUAAAAUUAAAUGCUUCAAAAUCUUAUAAAACAUCAGGUGAACUAUACUUAAAAAAGACAACUUAUAAAAAAAGUAAAAAUCUGAAAUUAAAAAAUAGAGAUAAAAAAAAAGACAACAAGGGGAAGAACAGUUUAUUGAAUAAUUCUACAACACAUUCUAAAAGUUCUUUAUUAACACAUAGUGAAACUAUUUCAAAAUAUUUUAGGAUGUAUUCAUCAAAAAAUACAUCUGAAAUGAAACUGUUUCAAUCCAAAUUUCCUAAAAGAUUAGCUAAAAAAGAGGACACCCAUCCGUAUAAUAUUGGAUGUAUGUAUAUGAAUAGUAAUAUAGAAACGAAUUCAAAAGAAUUAUUAGAUAAAGAAUCACUUGAUAAUGAAUUAUUGAAUAGUUCCCAAAGUAUUGUACAUUUAAAAGAUUUAAAUGAUAAUAUUAACGAUAUUGAUUAUUAUAAAAAAUUAAUUGAUAAUUUAGAAGGAAAUAUUGCAGAAGCAAAAAAAAAAAAAAGUAUAACUUCUAUGGAUAAUAUUUUACAAAUUAUAAAUUAUUUGAUGCAUUAUUAUAUACCAAAAAUAAUUAAUAUAUAUGAAUAUUACAUGAAUAAUUUAGAUGAAAAAAACAAAAUAUUGAAACAAAAAAUUAAAGAAUCUUUAGAUUUUGGAGAUGUUCAAUAUGAAGAAAUAAGAGAAAUGAAGACUCAAAUGAUUCAAAAAAAUAAUGAGAUUAAAAAAUUACAUGACACGAUUACAAUAUUAAAAGAUAAAUUAUCAUCUACAAAUGAACUUGAAUUAAAAAAUUUCGAAUAUUUAGAUGAAAUUGUGCUUUUAAGAAAUAGAGUAGAAUAUUUAGAAAAACUUUUAACAGAAAAUAAUAAAACUAAAGAAUCACGUGAACUUACAAUUGUCCGUCGUAAUAUGUAUAAAUCACUUGUUAAAAUGAAAGGAGAAAUGAAAUUUAUAAAUGCAUUAAAACGGAAGUAUAUAAAAAGAUUUAAAAAAAGAAAAUUUAAUACAACUAAGUGGUUAGAUUUAAAGCGUAAAAUGGAAUCAAGUGAAACAUUAACGAUGGGAGAUAAUAUGUAUAAUAAUGAUUAUUUAUCACGUGGAUUUAAUACUAUGAAAUAUAAUAAUUUUCACGAAACGAAUAUUUUAUCAAGAGGAAGUAUAAAAAUAGUUAAGGAAUGUGUAGACAAAUGUGUUGAUACUAGUGAUAUAUAUAUUAUGAACGAUAAUGAUGAGUCAUAUAAUGACACAAAAAAAGGAAAUGAAGUAGAUUUAAAAGAAAAUGAAAAAAAAAAAAUUGAGACAAAAAAUAAAAAAGUUAAUACAAUAUUAAGCAAUCAUACAUUUUUAAAAUUAUUAGAAAAAGACAAAACAAAAAGUGUUGAAAAAGAAAAGGUAUGUAGUUUAAUACCUAAAGAAAGU
ensembl:lncRNA